rnacentral:rRNA from 1 species
AUUGAACGCUGGCGGCAUGCCUUACACAUGCAAAUCGAACGGUAACGGGCCUUCGGGUGCCGACGAGUGGCGAACGGGUGAGUAAUACAUCGGAACGUGCCCGAUCGUGGGGGAUAACGAGGCGAAAGCUUUGCUAAUACCGCAUACGAUCUACGGAUGAAAGCAGGGGACCGCAAGGCCUUGCGCGGACGGAGCGGCCGAUGGCAGAUUAGGUAGUUGGUGGGAUAAAAGCUUACCAAGCCGACGAUCUGUAGCUGGUCUGAGAGGAUGAUCAGCCACACUGGGACUGAGACACGGCCCAGACUCCUACGGGAGGUAGCAGUGGGGAAUUUUGGACAAUGGGCGCAAGCCUGAUCCAGCCAUGCCGCGUGCAGGAUGAAGGCCUUCGGGUUGUAAACUGAUUUUGUACGGAACGAAAAGCCUUCUUUUAAUACAGGAGGGUCAUGACGGUACCGUAAGAAUAAGCACCGGCUAACUACGUG